GAUGAAGAACGUAGCGAAAUGCGAUAAGUAAUGUGAAUUGCAGAAUUCAGUGAAUCAUCGAAUCUUUGAACGCACCUUGCACCCUUUGGCAUUCCGAAGGGUAUGCUCGUUUGAGUGUCAUUGUACUCUCACACUCCCAAUUGCUUUGGAUUGGGAGCGGUGGACUUGGGUGUUGCUGCUUGACUGAGGCUCACCUGAAAUAUGUUAGUGCACCUCUUGAUUGGACAUAGUACGGCGUGAUAAGUGUCUUCGCCGGCUCCUCGCAAAGAGGGUGGCCGAUCGGGAGCUCUGUUGCUUCAAACUGUCUUCGGACAAUCUUCUGGCGACUAGACCUCAAAUCGAGUAGGACUACCCGCUGAACUUAAGCAUAUCAAUAAGCGGAGGA
rnacentral:misc_RNA from 1 species